rnacentral:rRNA from 1 species
UACGUAGGGUGCAAGCGUUUGUCCGGAAUUAUUGGGCGUAAAGAGCUCGUAGGCGGUUUGUCGCGUCUGCUGUGAAAACUCGGGGGCUUAACCCCGGGCCUGCAGUGGGUACGGGCAGACUAGAGUGCGGUAGGGGAGACUGGAAUUCCUGGUGUAGCGGUGAAAUGCGCAGAUAUCAGGAGGAACACCGGUGGCGAAGGCGGGUCUCUGGGCCGUAACUGACGCUGAGGAGCGAAAGCGUGGGGAGCGAACAGG